rnacentral:rRNA from 1 species
UCCUGUGGACCGAUGAGUGACGAAAAUCCUGGCCAUAGUAGCAGCGAUAGUCGGGUGAGAACCCCGACGGCCUAAUGGAUAAGGGUUCCUCAGCACUGCUGAUCAGCUGAGGGUUAGCCGGUCCUAAGUCACACCGCAACUCGACUGUGACGAAAUGGGAAACGGGUUAAUAUUCCCGUGCCACUAUGCAGUGAAAGUCGACGCCCUGGGGUCGAUCACGCCGGGCCUUCGCCCGGUCGAACCGUCAAACUCCGUGGAAGCCGUAACGGCACGAAGCGGACGAACGGCGGCAUAGGGAAACGUGAUUCAACCUGGGGCCCAUGAAAAGACGAGCAUAGUGUCCGUACCGAGAACCGACACAGGUGUCCAUGGCGGCGAAAGCCAAGGCCUGUCGGGAGCAACCAACGUUAGGGAAUUCGGCAAGUUAGUCCCGUACCUUCGGAAGAAGGGAUGCCUGCUCCGGAACGGAGCAGGUCGCAGUGACUCGGAAGCUCGGACUGUCUAGUAACAACACAGGUGACUGCAAAUCCGCAAGGACUCGUACAGUCACUGAAUCCUGCCCAGUGCAGGUAUCUGAACACCUCGUACAAGAGGACGAAGGACCUGUCAACGGCGGGGGUAACUAUGACCCUCUUAAGGUAGCGUAGUACCUUGCCGCAUCAGUAGCGGCUUGCAUGAAUGGAUUAACCAGAGCUUCACUGUCCCAACGUUGGGCCCGGUGAACUGUACAUUCCAGUGCGGAGUCUGGAGACACCCAGGGGGAAGCGAAGACCCUAUGGAGCUUUACUGCAGGCUGUCGCUGAGACGUGGUCGCCGAUGUGCAGCAUAGGUAGGAGACGUUACACAGGUACCCGCGCUAGCGGGCCACCGAGUCAACAGUGAAAUACUACCCGUCGGUGACUGCGACUCUCACUCCGGGAGGAGGACACCGAUAGCCGGGCAGUUUGACUGGGGCGGUACGCGCUCGAAAAGAUAUCGAGCGCGCCCUAUGGCUAUCUCAGCCGGGACAGAGACCCGGCGAAGAGUGCAAGAGCAAAAGAUAGCUUGACAGUGUUCUUCCCAACGAGGAACGCUGACGCGAAAGCGUGGUCUAGCGAACCAAUUAGCCUGCUUGAUGCGGGCAAUUGAUGACAGAAAAGCUACCCUAGGGAUAACAGAGUCGUCACUCGCAAGAGCACAUAUCGACCGAGUGGCUUGCUACCUCGAUGUCGGUUCCCUCCAUCCUGCCCGUGCAGAAGCGGGCAAGGGUGAGGUUGUUCGCCUAUUAAAGGAGGUCGUGAGCUGGGUUUAGACCGUCGUGAGACAGGUCGGCUGCUAUCUACUGGGUGUGUUAUGGUGUCUGACAAGAACGACCGUAUAGUACGAGAGGAACUACGGUUGGUGGCCACUGGUGUACCGGUUGUUCGAGAGAGCACGUGCCGGGUAGCCACGCCACACGGGGUAAGAGCUGAACGCAUCUAAGCUCGAAACCCACUUGGAAAAGAGACACCGCUGAGGUCCCGCGUAUAAGACGCGGUCGAUAGACUCGGGGUGUGCGCGUCGAGGUAACGAGACGUU